GUGGAUUAGAUACCCUGGUAGUCCACGCCCUAAACGAUGAGGGCUGGGUGUCGGCAGGGUUUCCUGUCGGUGCCGAAGCAAACGCGUUAAGCCCUCCGCCUGGGGACUACGGACGCAAGUUUAAAACUCAAAGGAAUAGACGGGGGCCCGCACAAGCAGCGGAGCGUGUGGUUCAAUUCGAUGCAACACGAAGAACCUUACCAGGGUUUGACAUGUAUGUGGUAGGAACCUGAAAGGGGCCCGACCCGCAAGGGAGCAUGCACAGGUGCUGCAUGGCUGUCGCCAACU
rnacentral:rRNA from 1 species